rnacentral:lncRNA from 1 species
UGUCCUCUACCUAAUAAUAUCAAUUCACUUAAAAUUUAUUUGAGAGAUAUAAUUGAAUAAAUAAUUUUUACGUGAUAAUAGUUAUUAAAUUAUUAAAGAUGUUUAAUUUUAUUAUAACUAUCUCAUAAAUUAUGUCUAUGAAAUAUUGAAAUAUGUUAAUAGUAUAAUUUUUUUUAUACAUUAAUAAUACAUCACAAUUAAUUUUUUUAUGCAAUCAGACUAUUUUAUAAAUACAAUUAAACUCAUAAUAUACCCUAUGAAUACAUUAUCUCAUAUCAAGAGUUAAACAUAACAAUAUUCAUUACUACGUGUAAAAUCUAACUUAACUGAUAAAUAUCGAUAUUGUUAAGUUGAAUACUAUUUUCUAGGUAGAUAUUGCAACAGAAUUGAUCGGAAACAAAAUUUUAACAUCUCUAUAUCUAUCUUCACUCCUAAAUUUUAAUUUCAGAGAAAACUUUAAUAUAUGCAUCCAAUCAAAACAUGAUUUCCGUGUUCGAAUUGAGAUAGAUUCGGAUGGAUAUCUGCAUAUUUGAGUUAUGUUGUCAUUCUUAAUUUCAGAUUAAAACUUGAAACAUCAAAGUUAUAUAUGAAUUUUAAAAAAAAUAUAUUAUUCAUAUUUUCUAAUAAAUAUUAAUUAUUAUAUAAAAAAAACAUGUAGAUCCAUUUGAGUGAUCUAAUAAUAAAUGACAUAAUCAAUUUUAAAUAGAUAUGGGUAUUAUUUUAAAAUUUUAUACUAAAGAUAUCUAAUUCCAACAAAUUAAUAUAAAGAAAAAAUAUUAAAACUAAUUCCAAUGAAUCUUAUUUGUAAAGUGAAUAGUAUAACCUCUUAUAAAUAAUUGAGUUGAAUAUAUUUUUAAUCAUUAUAAAAUUUUAAUUUUUUAUUUUAAUUUUUGUAUAAAAAAAUAUAAUUUUAUUAUAAAAUUAUUUAUCAAACAAUUUUAGUUUCUUUUAAAAUAAACUAUAUUUAAUUUUCCUUUAAUUUAAAUAAUAUUUAACAAACAUAUUAAAAACAUUAUAAUAUAAUAUUUAUAAAAAAAUUAAAAUCAAAAUUAAAAUUUUGAACUAAUAUUUUUGACAAAGUUUUAAUAAUAUUAUUUUCAUUAAAAAUAUAUAUUAAUUUAAGGGUGAGACUAAAAAUUAUAAUUAAUUUAACCUCCAAACAUAGAGAAGGAGUGAGAAAUCUGUGAAAACAAAAAAUAGAGAAGGGCAUUAAAUAAGUGAAAGUGUGAAACGGUGGGCUGUUGAUAAAAGCUGAAGGAAAGGGCAAAACCGGAAAGCCAAAAAGUUGCAUGCAAAAACUCAGAGUUUAAGGGCAGAAUAAGAAGACGCUUGUGAAUGAUAUCAUACCAAUUUAUUACCAAGAUUCUUAUUUCUUCAUACUCUAUAUAACACUAUCCCACCAAAAACCUCUCUGCUUUAAUCUCCUCUGUUUCUACCCUUUUUUUCUUUCUAAAAAACCAAAACACAAUCAUCAUGUUUUCUCCAACCAUAUACUAAUAUGUAACAUUAUUAUAGUCACAUUAAUAAGAAUAAUACUAUCGUUACAAUGGCUUCAGAAUCAUAUUCAUAUUCAUCUUCAUCCAUGAAACUCUUGUUGUUUAUGGUUCCUCUCAUAAUUGUUGCUGGACUUGUAUCUGUAUUAGGUCCUAAUCCUUCUAAUUGGGUUCUUAUUCCUAAUCAACCUCUCUUAUGGAGUUCUGUUACUACAUCUUCAUCAGAAAGUGGUUCUCUUAUGGAAAAAGUUCAAGCUGUUUCAUUUGAUUUUCAUAAUAAUAACAAGGAAGUGAAAGCUAUAUCUGAUGAUGACACUUUUUUCAAUCAAUCUUCUACUCCACCACUUUCUAUUCAAACACUUCAAAAAUUGGUAAGAGAUUAGUAUUAAUUUUCUUUUUAUCCAUUACUUAAACUUUGGAUUUUCCUUUUUAUUUUAUUUUAUUAAGAAGUAGUGUAGAAGGUUCUUAAUUUGUUGGAAAUUUUUCAUAAAUUAUUUGAUGAUGGUUACAUGCUAAAGAAGGAAAGAAUGUAAAAAAGGAAAGAAUUUAAGAUGUAAUAAAGCGAUUGACGUAUCUUUUUAAUUUCUCACUUUUUCUUAAAAAAUAUAUGCGAUUCUUUUCUUUGAUAAUAUCAUGAAUGACUAGAGAUAGAAUCUUUAAGAUUUUUGUGAAAAAAUUGUGAAAUUUUAAUAUAUUAUUUUUUAUUCUUACAAAAAAGAAACUUGGUGUAUUUAGUACACAAACUGUGGUUAUCCUUUUUUAUCUAAAUUAAAUUUUAAAGCGAAAGCAUAUUUGGAAGAUUUCCCUCGUGAGAACAAUUUAAAAUUUUGCACUAGUCUUUAGGAGACAAAUUUGCUUUGUGAUAUGGAAAGAUUUGAUCUUACCCCAAUUGCUGGAUCUAGUUGGAUACCAUAAUGUAACGAUCCUAGGAAUUAAUUACGGAUUUCAGAAAUAAAUUUCUUGAUUAUUCUCCCUAGUAAAUAUAAUCACAUGUCACAUAUUUCACUCUCAUGUAUUCUAAAAUACCUCUUGUAUUUGUUUGUAGACAAUUUUUAUUUAGUAAUUUGAUAAGAGACUGAAUGAUUAUAUAUUCAAGGACGAAAUGACUACUACCAUAUAUAGCACUAUAAUUUGACCCCAUUUACCUUGGAUUUUACUAGGUUUAAAAUUCUCAUGUUACCGUCAUAAGUUGAGCUUUUGGUAUGAGCGUGACAACUCUGAAUCUUGUUUGGAUUUUUUCCUCAAAUUAUUCUACACUUUUAAAUCUCGGUAAUCGAUUUUGAGUAUUACACAUACAUUAAAUUAAUUUUAUUUGAUCUCAACCAUUGAUCUAGAUUGGCCAGUUGCAUCAAUUAUUGCGUUAUUAUGCCAAAUAAUUAUCCUUGGGAUGAUUGCUAAUAUGCUAUUAGUUAUAAGUUUUGCACUAGUCUUAGACCAUGUUCAGUUUACAUUAUUCUUAAUACAUAUUAUGUACAUUCAGCCCUGCAGAAGAAUCAAUGACUAUGAACAAUUUGGUAUUGAAAAGGUAGGUGUCGUUUUCCCUUUGAAAGAGGGAAACAGACGAGAAACUUUACAUUAACUUCUCAUGUUUUAUUAUAGAAUUGGGUUAGAUUAGAUUUCCACAAACGACGUGUUAGGUAGUUCAUAGUAGUAUAAUCAGAGUUAACAUUAAUUAAUGAAUGAGUUUUUUGAGAGUUUUAAUAGUAAAUAUUAAUGAUCCAUCAAAUUUCCUUACCAGAACAAAGAUGAAGAAAGUGACAAUGCCUCUCAAAUCUGGACCAAUACAACUUCUAUGAAUGAAUCUUACUAUAUUCCUCUAGAGAAACCAAACCUUCCAAGAAAGUUCAGCAUCUUAGACAGAACAGAAGCCGGUCUACUACAAGCUCGAGCCGCAAUACGGAAAGCAAGAAAUGGGAAUCAAACACAAGACAUAGACUAUGUUCCAAUAGGACCAAUGUAUUACAAUCCUAAUGCAUUUCACAGGUAAAUAAUGCACAAUAUUUCUUUUGAUAUCUAAAUUAUUCAUUAUUUGCUAUAAUUCACUCGCCUUACUUUGUAAAAUUUAUAUUUGCUAUCUCACAGGAGUUAUUUAGAAAUGGAGAAACAGUUUAAAGUAUUUGUCUACGAAGAAGGGGAGCCUCCAGUUUUCCACAAUGGACCUUGCAAAAGUAUAUACUCCAUGGAAGGAAAUUUCAUCCACACAAUUGAGAUGAAUGACCAAUUCCGAACAAGAGACCCCGAUAAGGCGCACGUAUUUUUCCUUCCUUUUAGUGUAGCAAUGAUGGUCCAAUUUGUCUAUGUUCGUGACUCUCAUGAUUUUAGCCCCAUAAAGAAAACCGUCGCCGAUUAUAUCAAUGUCAUUUCCGAAAGAUACCCCUUUUGGAACCGAAGUCUCGGAGCUGAUCAUUUCAUGCUUUCUUGCCAUGAUUGGGUAAGUAUAUCACUAUAUCAAUUUAAAUUCUAAGUCCGCACAUUCUCAAUUUGAUCAUGGAUAAUUACUUGCUAACAAAAUUAUAUAUUGCGGUCGUGGUUCUCAAUAUUGAAAAUAUUGUUCAUACCACUUUAAUCACAGGCAUAUUACAAUAUAGACAACAAAAUUUUCGAUAGUGACAGUGUAAUUGAGAUUGUAGUCACAUAUCACAAUCUUUUUUUUUAAAAAAAAUACACAAGCCCGUAAGUAAUGUACUAAUGUUUAAAUUAUUAUGUUGCUUCGAUUUCAGGGGCCCGAGGUAUCAAAUUCAGUUCCAAACUUGUACAAGAAUUCGAUUCGUGCACUAUGCAAUGCCAACACCUCCGAGGGAUUCAAACCAGCAAAGGAUGUAUCUUUUCCAGAAAUCAAUCUUCAAACCGGUACAAUACAUGGUUUUGUAGGCGGGCCAUCUCCAUCCAAGCGAUCAGUUUUAGCUUUCUUUGCCGGCGGGCUUCACGGGCCCAUUAGGCCCAUUCUACUUGAUCAUUGGGAAAACAAAGAUGAAGACAUUCAAGUUCACAAGUACCUUCCAAAGGGUGUGUCUUACUAUGACAUGUUAAGAAAAAGCAAGUUUUGUCUUUGUCCUAGUGGAUACGAGGUAGCAAGUCCAAGAGUGGUGGAAGCAAUCUACACAGGUUGUGUUCCAGUGCUGAUUUCAGAUCAUUAUGUUCCUCCAUUCAGUGAUGUUUUGAAUUGGAAAUCGUUUUCUGUUGAGGUUUCAGUUGAUGAUAUACCUAACUUGAAGAAAAUUCUGUUGAGUAUUUCACCCAGACAGUAUAUAAGAAUGCAGAGAAGAGUAGGACAAGUUAGGAGACAUUUUGAGGUACAUUCUCCACCUAAGAGAUUUGACGUGUUUCAUAUGAUCCUUCAUUCUAUUUGGCUUAGAAGAUUAAACUUCAGAGUCCAUGAUGACCAAUAACAUAUAUAAGAUUAUUAAUUACGGUUGGGGAAUUAGUUUCUGGUAGGGUUUUUUUUUUGGGUUGGGGAAUUAAUUUCUGGUAGGGUUUUUUUUUGGGUAAGUUUUUGAAUAGUUUUUUAUUUGGUAAUGUAAGAUGAUUGUGUGAAUGUAAUUUUCUUUUUCGUUUCAUGUGAUGUAUAAAAUUAUUAAGUAAUAAAAGUGAUAUUUUAAUUUCUCAUAUUGGAUGCCUGUGCUAUAUCUAGUAGAGUAGUAGUAUUAUGUUUUUUGGUGAAUUGUCUCUAGUAGUAUCAUUGUAUUUCCUAAUACUGCAAAUAUUAGACUGAAAAUAUUUGCACAUUUUUUUUUUUACAGAUAUUUGCACAUCUAAUCUAAUUUUUUACAUAUGAUAUGAUAUUGGCAUAUCUUACAUAAUCUUGAUUGUCAAAAAAAAUCCUAGUACUUUCUUUUAAAAUAUUGGAAUAUCAAUAAAAAGGAUGAACAUUAGCUAGUAAAUAGUAAGGAGGUUCUCUUUGCUAGAGCAUGAGUUGACAGAUUGAAGUGUCUCCUAUCAAACUUAAUGUGAGAGUCAUAAAAAUGAGGAAACUCAUAGACAUCUUUUCAAUUGUAAAAAUUGUCAACAAUCCGUUUAGAACUCCCGCGCAAUGGACUGCUUGAUUUUCAUAGAGAUAAAGUUUGAAUCAAAUAAUUCAUUGGUGAUGUUUUGUAUUUCGGGAAGCAAUUUGAAUCCAAUUAUCGUCUUUGGUGGAAUAUCUACUAUCAUUCUAUCAAUCACAUUGUUUCUUUUUCUAUUUUUAAGAAUUAAAUUUGAAAUCUUAUUUAACAAACCUAACUUUAACUAUACUCAGUCAAUAUAUUUUUUUUUUUAACAAAAGUUUAGAUCAAUUUAAUGUUAGUUUGCGCUUUUAAUUUAAAUCAUAUAAAAUGAUAUCAAUAGUUUCUUUAAAAAAAAAUAUAGUUUACUACUCUUGUUUUUUGUAUUCAACAUCAUAGUUUUAAAUUUCAUUGUAAUAUAAAGAAUUUUGUGAACUCCAUAGCUGAUAUUAUAAUUACAAUUUCGUAUCUGAUAUUUUUUCAUAUUUUACAACAAUAUAAAUAAUACAACAUAAAUCCCUAUUGUUUUAAUAAUUUAAAAUCAUACUUUAACACAUAGGAUUCACUCAUUUCUCUUUUUUCAAACACAUUACAUCACUAGUUUAGAAGAUAGAUGUCAUCACCAAGGAGUUUCUUAGGCUACGUGCAACACUUACACACAUACAUGUCAACACAAUAUUCUCAAACACGGACACCCUUUUUCUCCACGUGUCACUCUGUUACUAUCUUUCCUCCACGUGUCACUCUCCCUUAAAAUAUGUUCCCUCAAAGUUUUGCUUCCUACACACACCACAUUCAAACACCGACUUUGCUUCCUUCACAUAAUAUAUACCCAUCACCACAAUCCAUAUACACAUGAAAUUCAAAGCAUUAUUAUAACUCACUGCAUUCUUCUUUUCUUUUUACAUAAAAAAGUUGGAUCAAAAUCUACAAAAAUUGAAUGGCGUCGAGGAAAGAUUUCAAGGAAGACAGAGCCGAAGCAGCUGCAAAACUAGCUGCAAAAGACAUCGGCGACGUAAACAGAGCAAACGAACGAGAAGAAGGAUACAAUCUUAAUUCCGAAAUACAGUUCAAACAAGCACGUGCUGAAGCAGCUUCAAAACUCGCUGCUAAAGAUCUGGAAGACGUUAACAGAGCAAAAGAAAGAACAUUGAAUGCUUCUUCUGAAACAGGGUAUUAUCAAGAAGAGAAACCCGGCGUUAUUGGAUCAAUGCUGAAAGCGGUGAACAACACUUUCGGACACGCGAAAGAUGCUGUUGUUGGUAAGAGUAACGAAGCUGGUGAAAAAGUAAAGGAAACUUCUGAUUAUGCUUAUCAGAAAGCGAAGGAAACAAAAGACAGCACUGCGAACAAAACAGGGGAAUAUGCUGAUUGUGCUGCGGAGAAAGCGAAGGAGACGAAAGAUGCGACGGUGAAUAAAGCUGGAGAGUAUAAGGAUUAUGCUGCAGAGAAGGCGAAGGAAGCGAAAGACGUGACGGUGGAGAAAGCGAAAGAGGUGAAAGAUGCGACAGUGAAUAAGGCGGGAGAGUAUAAAGAUUAUACGGCUGAGAAGGCUAAAGAAGGGAAGGAUGGUACUGUGGGGAAACUUGGUGAGUUGAAGGAUUCGGCUGCUGAUGCUGCUAAGAGAGCUAUGGGUUUCUUUUCUGCGAAGAAAGAGGAAACUAAGGUUAAUUUGCUUCUAACUUUCAUUGCUUUUUUGAAAUUGUGAGUUUAUUGAGAAUGUGUGAUUAAUUGUGUGGCUUGCAGGAAAUGGUGAGUGGAACAGAGGAAGAAUAUGCAAGGAGAAGAAUGGAUGAUUUAAGUGUGGAAGGAGGGAGGCGGGGUAGAGAGAAAUUGGUAGUGAAGGUGGAUGAGAGUCGUCCUGGAGUGGUGUCUGAUGGGCUCAGAGCAGCUGCCGGAGUAGAUCACAGUGGAGGACAUUUGGAGGAAGAAGGCACCAUACAUGUUGAGCGUCGUCGUGAGAAAAUGUGAUCAUCAUCAUCAUAUGCAAUCUUCUUGUUGCCAUGUCAGUACUAUAUAUAUGAUCACUACUUUUCUGUAAUCAUAAUGUGUUUUUUGUAAUAAUAAUAAUAUUUUGUUACUAUUUUUUUUUUUUUGCUUUUUUUUAAUCUUAAUUAAUCGAAUCCUUUUGUCUUUUUAGGGAGUGGAAUUAGUAGUUUUUUUUCAUUUUCAAGUGCAAGGUUAUGAAUGGGUGGAGGCAUGAUAAACCCAGGCCUGGAAAUAGCACAUAAUAAUCGAGUUGGGCUCUUUUUUAUUUCCACGGGCUAUUUUUCAUUGUUUGGAACUUGGGCUUAUAAAUGCAUGUCACUGAUUCUUAAUAGAAUAAACCCAACGCUUAUGAAUGCAUGUGGCUGAUUCUAAAGAGAAUAAACCCAGAUAAACUAUAACGAUGACUUUUUAAAAUACACCCUUUGAUUAGUCAAUUUAAGGUGUCUUUUGAAAAGAAAAUAAAUGUAUUUUAUAAAUGUUUGAAAUUAUGGACUUUAGGAAAAGAACGAAUUUAUUACUUAAAGAAUAUUUUUAAAGAGUUUAUUACUUAAAGAAUAUUUCUAAGUCGCUUUUAAUGCAUGGAAAAAAUAGUCAUGGGAUAGUUGCUUUAGGGUUAGUAAGUAAUCAUGAUGUUUGUUAAGUAAAGAUUGAUUUGAGGAUAAUCUCCAUCCCAUAAAAACAUCUAUUUCAUUCUCAUUUGUUCACUUUUACAAACAUAUAAUGAGACAUUAUAGACAUAAAGUAACGUGCCAAGCAUGAGAGAAGUUCAGCUUUCUCUUCUCCUUUCUUCGGGUCUUUGAGUUCUGUGUAUGUGUGUCAUGCGCUAAGAGUGAUAAUUUUAAAUAUCAUCCAAAAUUUAAUAAUUUUAAAUAUUUCUUUACUUUAUAUUAUAUAAAUUGUAAAAUGAUCUCUAUAGUUUUUGCGAGUUUAAAUGAUUUUAUAUUUUUUAAAAUUUUUAUAUUAGUUUCUAAAAAUUGCAAAAUAGUCUGUUUUUAACUUUUACAAAUUUUUAAUUUUGGUCCAAUUAUAAGAUUUAUUUUUUGUCUAAAAAUUUUAGAAAUUUAUAAAAAUAGUCUAAAUUUUUAAGAACAAUUCUUUUUUUCAAAAAAAAGUUAAAAAUAAAAGAAAUUUAACUGAAACAUUUAGAUUGUCUGUAAUUUUAAUUUUAUUUAAAUAAUAAUUUAAAUAAUAUUUACAAUGAAGAAACUUUAUAAGGUAUUUUGUCAUACAUAAAUUUAGAAAAAUUUAAAUACUUUUUAAAAUUAAUAAUUUCAAAUAUUUUUUUCUUCAUAAAAUAUGAAUUAUGAAAUUAUCUUUGUAAUUUUUUCAAAUUUCCAAAUUUGAUAUUAUGUGCUUUAAAAUUUGUACAUUAAUCCCUAUAUUUUUUACAAAUUAAUAUUAAAAAUUUAACAAAAAUAGUUUCUCUAAUUAUGAAAGAAUUUUGAAAACAAAUACUAUUUUAACAAGUUAAUUAUUGAUAUUUUUCUAUGUAAAAGAAAAUUGAAAUUCACCUUGAGUUAACUUCUCAAAUUAUCACUGUCAUCUCAUUGUCAUCUCAUAGUGAUUGACUUUAGGAGUAUUUAGUGACUAUUAGCAUGUGUAAUUUUAUACUCUAUCACUUUACUAAAUGACACAUCAAUUUUAUAAAAUUAUACAUUAUUUUACAAAAUUAUAUUUUAUUAAUAGUAUAUAAAUAAAAUGGAAACUAGAGUUUACAUAAAUUAGAAAAAGAGAUUAAUAAAUAAUAAUGGUUGUAAUAAAAAUAUAAUAUUAACUAUUUAAUUGGCAUAUGAUAUAUAAAAUCAGACAACAACAAAAUUAGACAAUUUUUGUGUGUUAAAAUUGUUUAUAGAAAAAUGUUAAUAAAUAUUUUUAAGGGUAUUUACUAAGAAAAAAAAAAAGACAAUUUAAAAUGUAUAAAAAUUUAACUCUUUUAAAAUUUAAAAUAUAUUAUUUUCAAUAUAAAAUAUUUUUAGUUCUUAACAAAUACUUUUAAGAUAUUUGUUAGUAAGUAAGUUGUGGGACACAAAUAAUAUUAUUAUUAGAAGAUACUAAUAAGUGGUUAACAUUGUAACAUGCUGCCAACAAUUAGUAUUUUUGUCUAAUUGGUAAAUGGAAAGCCUUUCUCAAAUGAUUAUUAUUUAUCUUCAAUUAACUAAUAUAAUAUAGUCACUUAGUUGUCAUCGAGGUAGUUUUCGAUUUUUUAUAAUACUUUUGCGGAUUAGCGUUUGAUUAACUUUUGUAAUAAAUUUAGUAAGUUAGAUUUUCGGUGGUCCCAUAUAUUUUAGAGAUUUUAAAAAAUUAGAUUUUUAAAUAUAUUUUUUUACAAGAAUAAUAUUUUAUUUAAAUUGUAAACAAUAUAUUUUUUUUAAACUAAUCUAAAAAAAAAACAAAAAUUCAAAUUAUUUAAUUUAAAUUGUAUCUAAAUAAUAUUAAAAAAAAUCAAAAAACUUAAAUCAUUUCAGAUACACUGAUUCAAAUAUUUUUGACCUCUAAUAGUCUUAAAAAAUUAAAAGAAAUAAAAUGCGUCCUAUUGAUGAUGUUGCACGGGCCAUGGCAUAUUCUGGUUAGAUAAUAGUAAUAUUUUUUAUGUUGUAAAAAAAAAAAAUAGUAUUUCUUUUCUGUGAUUGUGAUUAAUAUGCAAGCAAAGAUGAACGGAACCAGAAACAUGUUUGCAAUCGGUAGUUGUCAUCCGCAUUUUAGAUGUGAGUGUGUGAUAGUGCCUCUUGUGCUCACCUGUACCAUAAGGAUUGGCGAUGCCUGGAGGAAGACAAUUUGAAUUAGGACUCACUCAGCCAUGUUAUGUUUUGUUUUUUGUUUCUCUUUUUUGUUUUUCUUUUUUCUGUUUGAACUAUCGACCCCAGCUAUGAAUUUGACGACCAAGAUUAGUUUCCAUUUUGUGGUGUCCUGCUCUCACGUGAAAUCAACAGAAUGUCCAACCAUGCAUUGUCCAGGGACAAAACUUCGCAUCAAUUAUUUGUCUUGCUUAACUGGCAAAUCAGAGUGUAUCAAAAACAUUUAUUCCAUUUAUUAUAUGUCUCACAAUAUAAACAAAAAUAGAUUAAAUCAAUUAGAUACAUAAUUUAAAUUUUAAAUUAUAUAUUUAUUUUAAUCUAUUUUUAUUUAUAUUAUAAAAGAAAAUAGUAUUUUUUUUAAAGUAUCUAAAACAACUUAACAUACAGUAAAUUAUUUUAGUGACUACUCACAAUGAUUAUGUGGUUAAUAAGACAGAGAAAUUUAAACAUUCGAUAAAAAAUAUUAAUAAAAUUUUUUAGGAUAAAAAUAUUUAAUAAUGACUUAAAACACAAAAUUUUAUCUUAAAAUUUAUGUAUUCAACUCUUUAAAAUUAAAAAUUAUAUUUUGUAUCUUAAUAAUCUUAAAGAAUUUAUUAGCAUAAACACAUUUAAUUUAAAUAAGUGUUUAUUUAAGAUAUUCUCUGUAGAAGACAAUAUCUAUUUCCCUUAAAUUUUGAGGAACAAAAGAAGAAUGACUAUGAAAAAAGAAAAUAUACAACUUCAAAUAUAUCUAACUAUUUUUAGUAGAAAAAAAAUCACCAAAUACCUACCUGUUGAUGAAGGUUGACUACAUAGUAAGACUAUUACACUUGAGACUACAGGCACCCCUUUAUGAUUUUUUUUUGUGCAAAUACUCCAAUCCAUAAUAAAUUUUUUUGUUUUAUAAUUGUAAUAUUUUAAAAGAUGUGUCAAUUUUUGUUAACAAUUGUUUGUUAAAUAUUAAAUUAAAAUACAAUUUUUUAAACAACAAAUUUAGAUAAAAUAUUAUAUAUAAUUUUGUCAUUCACAUUAAUAUUGACGUAUCUUAUUUACAAGGAAGAUAGUUUUAGACAAAUAUUAAAAUUUAUAAAUAUAAUAUAUAUGAUAAUAAUUUUGAAUUCAGUAAUUAAUUUAAAAAUAAUUAUUUAAUAUGAUAUUAUUAAAUAAAUAUAACUAUUAACGUAAUUCAAAUAAAACAUACAAUUUAAUAAUAUUAGAUUUGUUAAUGAAGUGAGACGACCUAAAUAUUUUAUUAUUGUUGAAUGUUUUCUUGUUUGUAUAUAUUUAGUAGUACGAAUACGACAUACUUAAAAAAAAAAAAAACUCGAAUACGACUACGUAUUUAUUAUUAUUAAAUGUUAUAGAAAUAAUAAAAUUAGAAAAUAAUUUGUAGGUGGUGGUGGCACCCUGUGAUUUAAUAUUAUGAGUAUGAGUAGUAAGUAAGGACACAUGCCAUAACGUUACUCCUUCUGAGUCUGAGUGUUGUUCGAGAAAUGAAUUCACAAUUGUCCGCCAUGUCCUUUUCCACCAAAGCUUUCAUCCUCUACCUCAUAUCCGCUUUCUCCAUUGCCCUUCUCUCCGCACUUUUCCUCAAUUACAAACCUUCUUCCCUCAAUAAUUAUUCCCUUCCACUCCGUUACGGAUCCAUAACCGAUAAACUUUGGCCCGUACGUCACUUACACAUCAUUUUCCCUUCUCCAAUAUUCAGCUACUUCUUUUCUCAAAUAAACCGUUUCUUCCGUUUAAACAUUCACAUUUUCUUUGUUUUAUUGUGUAGGAAUUGAAGGUUAGUUGGAGACUUGGUUUGGCCACACUUAUUGGUUUUUUAGGAUCCGCUUUUGGAACCGUUGGUGGUGUUGGUGGUGGUGGCAUUUUCGUUCCUAUGCUUACUCUUAUUAUUGGUUUUGAUACUAAAUCUGCUGCUGCUCUUUCCAAAUGUAAUUAAUUCAAUUCAAUCAUUUCAUAUAUAUACUUUUAAAAUGUUUUCUUACAAGCAGGGGACGUUGUUUUGAUGAUGUUGAGUUUAUUUUAUUUUAGGUAUGAUAAUGGGAGCAUCAACAUCUUCUGUAUUUUAUAACCUAAGAGUGCGUCAUCCAACAAAAGAAGUUCCAAUAUUGGAUUAUGAUUUAGCUCUUCUUUUUCAACCUAUGCUCAUGCUUGGUAUUACUGUUGGUGUUGCUCUUAGUGUUGUUUUCCCUUACUGGCUCAUCACUGUUCUCAUCAUUAUUCUCUUCAUAGGUUACUUUUCUACUUACUUUUAUCCAUUCUUCCUUUCAUUUUAAUCACUUCUUAGUUGAAAUUCAAAAUGGAAAUUCUAUAAUUUUGGACAGGAACUUCAUCAAGGUCUUUCUUUAAGGGAACUGAGAUGUGGAAAGAAGAGACUCUUCUCAAAGUAAGACUUAAUUUCACAAUUUCAUAAUGUAAUAAAUAAUUGAACAUUCAAUUAUCAAUAUAAGUCAUUAAAUGAUACUCAAUAGCUUUGUAUCUCUAUGGUUUUUUAAUUACAGAAAGAAAUGGCCAUGGCACAAGCAACUUUUGUUAAUUCUCGCGGGGAACGUAAGAAAAUCUUAUAUAUCUAUUUCAACUUUAUCUGAGAUUCAUUAGCUGUAUUACUACUUUUUUCAAAUUAAUCAAUAAUGAAAAUUGUACUAAAUUACAAAUCUGGAUCCAUAUGGAGUAAUGAUAAUUAACUUAAUCUCCUGAAUUAUGCAGUUCUAAUCGACACAGAAUAUGAUCCAUUAGUACCUAGAGAAGAGAAGUCACCUAUGGUAUUUAAACUUCACAAACUUAUAAAAUUUUGAUUUACUUGUUUGUAGGUAGGUUUGUAGAAAAUUGACUAUUUGUUUUUUUUUUUUUUUUGUGUUUCUUAAAACAGCAAAUAUUUUGUUCCAACCUUAAGUGGAAAAGAAUUUUGGUGUUAAUGGUUGUUUGGGUUUCUUUCCUACUACUUCAAGUCAUUAAGGUAGGUUCCUAUUUAUUUCCUGUUCACAUCACAAAUCUGUUUAAUUUUUAUUUAUUUUUUUAAAUCUAUUUGAUUUUGGUUUUGUUUGCAGAAUGAUGUAAAAGUCUGCAGUGUAUGGUAUUGGGUCCUUUUCUCCUUACAGGUAUGAUAAUAAAAUAACAGCAAUUGCAUAACCACUAGCACAACUUGUUACCUAUGCUGGAAUUAAGUUAAUUUCGACUAAUGUGGCCUCAAUCAUUGCAACGUUGCGGUCAUAGAAGCAUUGAAAACUAUGAUGUUGCAAUCUAAAUUGUGGUCGUGGAUUUUUUUUUAAACCAGCUUAUCAUCGUCUAUGAAACAUGGACACUAGAUACGAAAUUGACACAUAAACACUUAAUAGUUAUUUUAAGAAUAAAAGUAAUUGAGUGCGACCAUAUUUGUCAGUGUGAGUCACUAACACAUACCAGAGACGCAUUCAAUUCAAGUUGUUGGUGUAACAUAGAUCAUCAUGAACCUUUCUCUUUCUGUUUCAGUUUCCUAUUGCACUAGUGGUGUUUGGCUAUGAAGCAAUGAAGUUGUACAAGGAUCACAAAAAGAGGAUGAGUACAGGAAAUCCAGAAUCUAUCUGUGAAGCUUCAAUUGAAUGGACUGCAUUGCACAUUAUCUUUUGUGCACUUUGUGGAAUCUUAGGUGGGACCGUUGGAGGGUUACUUGGUUCUGGAGGUGGAUUCAUUUUGGGCCCUCUUCUCAUUGAGAUUGGUGUCAUCCCUCAGGUACAGUACAUAUAUUGAUAGUGUGGAUGACACAAGUUUGAUUUAAAACUAUAAUAAAUUUAAGCAAUUUAAUUUCUAAGGAUUUAUUAAAUUUAACUUGCAGGUUGCUAGUGCAACAGCAACAUUUGUAAUGAUGUUUUCGUCAUCAUUGUCUGUGGUUGAAUUCUAUCUACUCAAGAGAUUCCCUAUUCCCUACGGUAGCUUUCAUCAACUAUUCAAGCUUAAUUCUCUUUUAAUUUAUCCAAUGUUUUUAAAUAGCGGCUAUAGUGACACUAUAAUGUAGUGGAGUUUGAUCAAAUUGUUAUGGUUCAAUGAUACGCUAUUUAAUAUAAAGUAUUGUAAAAUAUCAGUUUUUGCAGCACUAUAACAUUGUUGUAUAGCAAACAAACUGUUAUUUUUCACACAUGUCUUUUAAUUUUCACCAUGUGUCUUGUAUGUGUGAAAAUGAGAGGACUAUAGAAAUAGGUGCAAGAUUACCUCAUAUCAUGGUCUAUAGUAUAUUUCAUAUUUUCAUAUAUACCAUUUUCUUUUGUCAUAAUCAUGUUGUUGUGUUUGUAUUUCUUUUGCAGCAAUAUACCUUUUCACAGUGUCUGUUUUGGCUGGCUUUGUGGGACAAUUAUUUGUAAGAAAAUUGCUUAGAAUUCUUGGAAGAGCCUCAAUCAUUGUAUUCAUCCUCUCAGGGGUCAUUUUUGCUAGUGCUCUCACCAUGGGUAAGCCAAAUCAAAUUUAAUUACUCAACGCACACAUGCACAUUUGAUUUUGCACUUAAGUUCUAAUAUAACUAGUAAAAUACCGUGCAUGCCGUGUUAGCAAAUGUAACACUUUUUCUUUCAGGUAUUAUUGGCAUUGAGAAGAGCAUUCAUAUGAUCCAGAACCACGAGUUUAUGGGAUUUUUAGGCUUUUGUAGCAGUCAAUGAUUUAUAAGAUGUAGUGCACAAUGUGAAAAUAGCUUGUAUAAAUUUCAAGGUAGGACAAAAGCAGCUUGAUGAAUGUUGGUCAAUAUCUAGUUGACCGUCAAGAAGAUUCAUUUUCUUCAAGUAAUAAUAAAUAAGGCAAAGUUGUCCAAUCAUCUUUGAAGCAGCACCAUUUGUAGUUGAGUGUUAACUACUGGUUAACACUUUUCUUCUCAUAACAGUGCAGCAUUUGUGUGAUAAUUUUUUUUUUGAAAAAAAAAAAGAUUGUGUUGUGUAGUCAUUUAAUGAGUCUGUAAAAGAAGCUUGUGAAUUAAGGGUGUAGGACAAGAAGCUUGUGUAUUUAUUCAAAUCAAUGUUUAUAUGUGGUCAAUUUCUUGUUGGCCAUGUUGAAGGUCCUUUUCUUUCUUUAUUCAAUAAAUAAGGUGUAAUUGUCUUCCUUUGUAAGAAUUUGAGGUUUGAUUGUUAGCUACUUGCUAACACUCUUCUUCUCAUUACAGUGUAUCCUUUGUUUGUGUGUGGUAUUCAUUCACUUGGCAGAAUAUUUGAAAUUAUAUAUUGGGCCUACAUUGGUGAGGACAUAUAAAAGUUGCAAGAUAUUUUUUCUGCCAAAAUCAUCCCCUUGUGAGUCAAUAUUUAAUUUAUUAUUAAUUGAGUUAUUUGAAUAUCAAGGCAAGAGACACCGUAUUUGACAUAUGUAAAAUACACAAGGCAAAGGUAAAAGACACCAUACUUGAUAACAAAACUUUUAGGUCUAAGAAUUAUUUCUUAUUUGUCACUACCACAUAUAUAGCUUUCAAUGCAUCUAUUCACAUACAAAUUAAUGGUUAUAUUAUACCAGAAAAUUUAUCUAUUACAAAAAAGUCUUCAUCUAAUCACAAGUGAUGAAGCUUGCACACAAUUACAAUUUUUACCAUUUAAAACAUAUUUUCUUCCAUCUUAAAUAUAAAAAAAAUGUAAAUGAUGAAUUUUUGUGGUAGCGAUUAGUUAAGUUGAAUUUGGCUAUCAAAAUUCAAAAAGAAAUUCCCGAGUAUAAUACAAUCUUUUUUUUGCUAAGCAUGGUUAUGUUUGGAUUAUAAGAAUAAAUUAAAAAAAAAAAAAAAUAGUCAAUCACAUUUGUUAAGGUAUCAUGCUCUAACUAUGCGGUUGGAAUUUUCUUUUGUUAAAACCUUCACCGCAAAAGAAAUCAUAUGGCUGAUGACAAACAUAAUUCACUAUUAUUUCUUGAGAGCCAACAAAUUUGACACGGCAAUGGCGACGGUACUCUUUCUUUCUCCUGCUUAUAUUAUUUUUAAUUAUUUGUAUUUUUAUAAAUUAGAUUAGAGGGAUAUCUAUUUGUCAGAAAGAUAAGCUCGAUCUAAGCUUAAACAAAUCCCUAAUAAUUGAGGAUGUCAUACUAUUUAUUAACGAAGUAAUCAAUCAUGGAAAAACAAUUUUAGAUUAAACCACUUUUAUAAAUCGAAUAUAAAAUUUUAUCAUCCGUUUCAAGUACAACGAUGAAGAAUAGUAAUUAAUUGUUUAAUUGUAGCAAAUACGUAUAUAUAGUAUUAUAAUGGAUGUUCUCUGAAUUGGAUCAUCUUUAACAUGCAUAUGUUGCCAAAGUACCACAAUAUGUGGCCCAAUGGGUGGCCUAAAAGUGUGUUUUGUUCUCAAGAUUCUGAUCCAUAUAUAGCAUUAUAAUGCCAACUAUUUGGGUUGGCCAAUUACGUAACUUCAAAUGUAGUAUGGAACAUUUUAUAUCAAUAAGUUCAACUCAAUCAUCAAUCAUUUCGUUUUAUAUUACUAGGUUUUCUAAUAUAUAUAAACUUAUAUUAUCUCAUCGGUCCAAAAAAAAAAAAAGUUCCAUGAUCUCAGUGACUUUUCAUAGAAAGAAAGGACGACAGAUGAUAGAAGAAUCCAAUGAACUUCAAACUAUAAAAAUUAGCAUAUAAUAAAAAAAUUGUAAUUUUAAUAAUUAAAAAAUGAUAAAAUAAAUUUUAGUUCCGUAAAGUUUUAUUCUUAAUUUCUAUACAAAAAAUUUCAAAUUUCUAAUCAUAAAAUUUUUCCGUCACUUUUAGUCUUUAUUUUCAAAAAGUAUUGUAAAAAGUUAAUAGUUUUAGUCCUUCAAAAACUUCUAUAAAAUCAAAAUAGAAACUAAAAUUAAAUAAUUUUUUUUAGUGGUAUUUUUAGAGAUCGUACUGUCGCAUCUCUUGGGUGCUUCGUUAUGCCUAUGAAAACUCACAAUGCUAUGUUUGUGGAACUUAUUGGUGCAAUAUUGACGAUUGAGAUAUCUUUUGAGAAAUGGUGGCAUGUAAAGUCUUUGGUCAGAAUGUGACUCAAAUUUAGUUGUUGCUGCUUUCAGUAACUCUCAGAUUGUCCCUUGAAGACUUCAAAAUAUAUGAAACAAUUGUAUUUAUAUUACCAUUUAACUGAGAUUUCAAUGCUCACAUAUUUACAGGGAGGGAAACUUGUGCGUUGACUUGUUGGCUAAUUUUGGUAUUUCCAGACAGAGUUUUGUCUGAUGGAAUGUUGUUCCUUCUUUUAUACGAGGAGUUUUUUAGGAAUAGGAAUCAUCCUUUUAGUUUUAGAUUCUCUUAAUAUACUUGGGUAUGGUGGUUGUCAUGUGCUUAUUUGUGUAUAUUUUAUUUAUUUAUUAUUUUCUACUAAUAAUAUUUUGUGUUGCUGAAGAUUGUGAGAGUUGGCGAUGUCAACUUAGUUACAAUUGUUGGGGAUAAUAAUGUGCUCUGCACCAUUUAUUUGGAAGAAAAAAAAAUUUGUCUUUCUAUUUUACAUUUGCAUAAAAUUGAAAACAAUAUUAUUUUUUACUCAUAAGACAAUGUUGAAAUGUGAUUGUUUAAAUUUUGGAAAAUGUUUUUAAAAACAAACAUUUGAUAACGUUUUAUAAUCUAUAUUCAAAACCUACUCUUUUUAAUAUAUGUUCGAAAUGGUUGUAUUUCGUGAAAGAGUGGAAUGAAAUGAAAGAUGUUAGUUUCAAGGUUGAGCCUUAAAUUUCUGUUGAUAUCAAUGUAUUCUUGCGGUCUUAGAUCAAUAUUAGGUCUGAGAUCUAUCAAGAUUAUGAUAGAAACCCUUAAAUAUUACUUUAUAAAUGCUGCUUUCAUUUAACAAGAGUGUCAUGUCAUCGGAUGAAUCAUAUUGAGUUAAAACACACAACUACAACAAGGUUUUUUUUGCGAGACCUGACUGCCGUUAGGAAAAACAAAACAAUAAGAAAUUACAGGUUUGCUUAGGGUCCGUUCAAAGUUAUUUUUGGUUUUCUGUUCUAAAUUUUUAAAAACUAAAACCAAUUAUCAAUUUUAGUUAUGAAUUUGAAUUCUUAGUUAAAAAAUAAAAAUUAAUUUUAAUUAUUUUAAAAUAAUUAAAAAUAUUGUAAAAUUAUAAUAUAUUUAAUUAUAAUAAUUUUAGUAGCAGUGGUUAAGAGUAAUAGUUGUGGAAGACGACUAUCACAAUAGUUAUUGAUUGUCGAAAGCGGCUACAACGAUCAAAAGAGACGGAUGAUAGUUGGAGGUGGUGUUUGGAGCGUAACCGGUGAUAAUUAUAUUGGUGGAUGGUGGUCAUUGGAGAUGGGUGAUUGAUAGUGAGGGUGGCAUGUGUCAGAAAUGGUCGUAAUGUUGGUUAGAGGUAGGUAUUCGAUGAAUAUGGUGGGUUUCAGAUAUGGCGGAGGUCGAUGUGAUGGCGGUAGCAGUUGUCAAAUGUGGGUGGUCGGCAAUACUAACUAUGGUUGGAGGUGGGUGAGUGGUGAUGAUAUAAGUGAUUGAAUAUGAUGGUCGGUUGUAAGGGCGAUGGUCAGAGGUGAGUGAUCGAUGAUAGAAGAUGGUUGUUGGAGGAAUGUGAGAGAUGGAUGUUGAUGGUCAUAAGUGAGUGGUUAGUGAUGAUGGUGGUGGUGACAAUUGCUAGAGGUGGGUGGCUGAUGGUGAUCUGAGGUGAAUGGUCAAUGAUAAUGGAUGUGAUUAGUGGCGGAUGAUCAUUGAUGGUGGCAAUGAUUGGAGAUUGGAUAUAGGUGUAGAAGAUAAUGGUUGUUACGGUGAUGUUUAUGUAUAAUGAUUGUGACAUGUUAAUUUAAAAACAAAAAUUGUAAAAAUUAAUUAUUCAGUUUAAAAUUUUUAGAAAAGCUGUUUUAAAAUUAAGUAUAAAAUCACUUCAACCCUAUUUUACGAUAUUUUCUUAGUGAUAUUAUCAUUGUUUAAGUGUGUGUGAAGGUUAGAGACAUAAUACGUAAGAUAUAUUUUGAAUAUCAAUAUUUUUCUCAAGAAAAAAAUAAGAGAAAUUUAUUAUUCGAAGAAAAAAAUUAAUGUUUCAAAGAUUUUAAAGUUUCAAAAAAUAUACAUUUUGAAGUUUUUUUAAAUCAGAAAUGUUUGAAAAUAUUUAACAAAUUAAAUGAAUUCUAUUUCAAAAUUUUAAAAUUAUAUAAAACUUUCAAAGAUUUUAAAAAUCUAAACUGAGUUUGUUUUUCAAAUAUUGAAUAAUCAAUUAAAUUUUGAAAAUUUUCUAUAAGCGACGAGUUGAAUGUAAAUGUUGAAAUUAAGUAGCAUAUUUUCAAUUAAAAAAAAAAAGUAUAUAUUUUUAUGUGUAUUAAGAGGUGAGAGGUAUAGGUAGAGUGGGUAAUAGAUUUUCCAAAAAAUCAAUUAAACCACAUCCUUAUAGACUGGGCUAUUUCAGAUAGGCCCAAUAUGAAAACGGACCGAACAAUGGUCCUUAUGUGGUUUUUACAAUAAGGAAAGGAUAUUUGUGGCAUUUUCGAGGUAUAGAUAUAAAUUCGCGGAACAAUCAACUUUCAGAUUUUAGGGUUUACAUCGCGCAUUCUCCCCUAACGCAGCAGCCAUGGUUCUCAAGUACGUAUUCUUCUCAUCUCCAUUUUCUUCCAUCAUUUUCUUUCUUACCAUCUCAUCUCUUCUUUUUCUAACGGUUUCAGCCUCUUCAAUUCAAUAUCUCAUACGUUCAAAAAAAUUAAUCUCGUGAUUUAUGUUUCAACAAUCCUUUUUUUUUUGUUACUGUAGGAUUUAGUUUAUUAAUCGAGAAUUAGUCUUCUGUUACAAUCAGUAUUGAGAAUUUGAUUGAAUGCAAAAUUUUGCCAUCUAGAGUGUAGUAUUCUAUGAUGGUAUUGUAGAUUAAAGAUAGAUAAUAUUUUAUUUUAUGAUUGUAGUUGGCUUCUUGAGUGUGAAAAUUUGUCUAGUAUUCAGUAUUUAGGAUCUGAUAGAUAGUUCUAAAUUGACAUUAUGUGUAACAUUUUCUAGUUCAAAAUAAUUGUGUUUUUUAUUUUUAUUAUUUGGGUUACUUUAAAUGAGUACACGCUUGCAAUUUUGUGAAGCACUCUUUAAAAUUCGACGUGGUUUAGAACUGCUUGUUAAUGCAUUUUCAAAUUUUAAACCAUUUAAGAGAAUGUUAUUCAUUUAAAUUAGUUUUUUAGAAAUAUAUCAAGACAUAAUAUGCUGUGUAACUUGACAGAUUGUUGGAAAUAGUAAACCAUGGACUUGUAGUUUCAAUUCAUUUUGAUUGAAUUAGUCUUGGCGUUCUCAAUAUAUUGCUUCCCUAAGUGUUAUAAUUAGAGAUUGAUAUUGCUAUUUCAGGACUGAACUUUGCCGAUUCAGUGGUGCAAAGAUCUACCCAGGAAGAGGAAUCAGAUUUAUUCGUGGUGAUUCUCAGGUGAUGUAAAAUGUUUUUCUUUGCUUCAAUAUCAGUGUUCUGUUUGCUAUGACAUGUUCAAUCUUAGUUUUACUGAUAUAAGGCUUGUUGUCAAUUUUACAGGUUUUCCUGUUUGUUAACUCAAAAUGCAAAAGGUAUUUCCACAACCGUUUGAAGCCUUCGAAGCUUACCUGGACUGCCAUGUUCAGGAAGCAACAUAAAAAGGUGAUUAUUUAACUUAUAUGUUUGUUAUAAGAUAGCACAAAGAUUAUAUAAUUUAAAACUAAGCUCUUGUACUUGUUAAAAUAAGAAUUCAAGGCAAUGAACCUAUUUACGAUGUGAAGAUGUUUUUGCCUGCUUUUACCAUGUACUAAGUCAUUACACAUGUAAACAGAUAACCUUUAGUAGUUCCUCUAUUGAUUACAUGCAUGUGAUGUGUAGGACGCUGCUCAAGAAGCUGUGAAGAAGAGGCGUCGUGCUACCAAAAAGCCAUACUCUAGGUCCAUUGUUGGUGCUACUUUGGAAGUCAUUCAGAAGAAAAGAACUGAGAAGCCUGAAGUUCGUGAUGCCGCUAGGGAAGCUGCUCUUCGGUUCGUUUCUUGUUUCUGCUUACUGUUUAAGAGCUCAUUUUUAGUGGUUUUCCUGUUUUAUCACACGAUCAUGUCAUUUGUAACAUUAAUCAUAUCAUCCCUUUUUUGGAAUAGUCUUAUUUUUAUUUUGUCUUGUUUUUUCUCUUACAAAUAUAGAUGAUUUAUCUAAUUAAUGGUGACCAUCCUGCAGUGAAAUUAAGGAGAGAAUCAAGAAAACUAAGGAUGAGAAGAAAGCCAAGAAAGCAGAAGUAGCAUCUAAGGCACAAAAAUCUCAAGGCAAAGGAAAUGUUCAGAAGGGUGCUUUGCCCAAAGGUCCUAAAAUGGGUGGCGGCGGUGGGAAACGCUGAGCGUUCCAUUUUUGGUUACAUUUAAAUAUAUUUCUUUUGAAACUUCUGUAUCCGUAUAUUUGAUUUGCUUGAUUAGUCUUUUUUUGUUACGUUUUAUCAAACUUGUUUUUGGAGCUUCCAAGAGAAACCAGUGAUCGAUUUUGCUAGUUAUGUUAUUUUUUGGUGCUAUUGAUCUUACAAUGCUUGUUAUUAUUUGCAUGUUUUAGGAGAUUUUUUACUUAAUGAAUAUCAAGAAUUCUAUCAUUCUUUUUGUCCUAUUUGUCAAUUGUUGGUUUUGGCAUUGUAUCCUUGGGUCGGAUUUGAUAUUGUUUGAUGCAAGCUGAAAGUACAUCAGCAAUAAAUGUGUAAUGAUUUCGAUUUCUUAUGUAUUUUUUCUACAAAUCCUCGACCUCAAGAAAAAUAGUUGUGAGAAAUUUGGAAGUAAGAAAUGAUAAGAAACUGGAUGGAUAAUUUUUAAUAUUCUGUUUUGGCUUAUGUAUCCAGGUAAUGUAUAGAAUGAUAAAAAAAAAUUAUAUAAGUAAUAAAUUAAUUAUUUUUAAGACACUUGCCUUUCCUUGAAAAGCACAAAUACCCCCUUUUGUUUUUCUAAGACCCUAAUUCAGCCUCUCAAUUUGACAGCGUUAAAUUUAUGUUACAGAAGAAAACCGAAAAAUUUCAAUGUCAUUUUUGCAUUUACAUUUUUUUCAUAAACAGAUCGUCUGUCCAACAGGUCUUCGUCAUCAGUUCUCAUUACACGCAAAACUUAUGUUACACAAGAACCCGUCUUCAUAUAAAAUAAAUUGAUGUCUGUAUAAAGAAAUUGAUGUCUUUAGUGGUUUCGGUUUCUUUAGUUUAUGCUCUUUCCUGUUUUUUAGUCCUUUAUGUUUUGAUAAAUUUUGGUUGAAUAUAUUAUAUCUUAUGCAAAGUAAAAGUAGAGAAUUAAACAAAAUGAAAAAUAAAGUGUUAAAGGUGGAAGAGAGGUGUUUAGCCAUUUGAUGAAACAAAUAAGGAAUGUUAGUGUAAAAAUUAGUGGGGAUUGUUUUUGCUUUUUCAAUAAUUAAGGAGAGGUGAAUGUAAAUUUUCCAAACUUUUAUAUUGUUAAAUCGUCUCUUUCCACUUUUUCUUGGGCCUUUCCUUGAAGGGGCUCAUUGCUACUGAUGUGCCCGAUUGAUGUGGGUCACUUUGAAGAAUAUCAUAAAGUAGACGGGUUGAUUAGUAAAUUUUUGAAUCCUCAAAUUCCUAAUUUAUAUUUUAUUAGAUUUAGCAAAUCCCAUGUUUCAUAUCCGACUGGCUGUUGUUGUCGAAAAAGUUACAUUUUCCGACUCCAAAUUAUCACUUCCGUCUCAUCGUGUGUAAAUAAAUAAUAGGUGAUUCGAUCUAAUAGACUCUAAUAUCAUUUAAAUAUUUUGAUUGGACCAUUCACAAUAAUAAAUUUGAUAUUGAGCCUAACUUUAUUAGUCUCUUCAAGUGUAUUGAGGGUUCAGAGGUAUAGGUAGAGCCAGUGAGGUGGCAAGUAGAAAAAUCUUUAACAAAAUUAAAACUCACCCAAUACUUUAUCUAAUUCAAUUAAAAUUUAACUCAAAUUAUAAACUAAUAAGAAUAUAAGUUUUAUAUACAAGAUAAAAAAUUAAACUAUAUAACUUUAGUUCGCCAAUACAUUAUAGAGGUAAAUAUAUAUAUCCUUUUAUUUUUACAUAAGAUUCAAAUUUAGGUCCACUUUUUACACUUAUAUAUUACUAGUAUUAUAUCAAUUUUUAUUUUGGUACUUUUCAGAUCUUAUAAUUUUUUUUUUAAGAAACUGCCUUUACUAUUCUAGAACAAUUAGGCAAUUCAAAGUUAAAGGUGUAGAAGAAAAAAAAAUCAAAGUAUUUGAUGUUACUAUUAAAAAAAUAGGAAAAUUCUAUAUUAUAUUUAACACAUUUCAAUAAAAAAGUUAAUAGAAACUAACAAUCAAAUCCUAUUUUAUUGAUAGUAACAAAACUUAGACGACUCUAAUUAGCUCAAUGACAAUUCAUUUAGAUAAUGACACAAAACUUUAUUAUUAGUAGAUAUCUAUACUUACACAUCCCUAAAUAUAAAAAAGUUUAACUGCAAAAUUUUGUAGGCACUUUAAAUUAAGGGUAUCUUCAAUCAUCAUCAUUUAAUAGUAUCAAAAGGAAAAUUCAGAAUAUAGGUCAUUGAUAUCAAAAUCACAAAAUGGAUAUAGGUCAUCAAAAAACCCAAAUCAAAGUAAUUAUUCUUCAAACCUUUAAAAUUUAAUCAAUCCAAUUUCAAUUCAGACGGAUCGGAAGCCGUCUCAACAACAUCGGAUUGUUCCACCACAUCCAAAGAAUUUAACUCUAGCAUAUUUUGUUCCACAAAUUCAUCCUUCAAAUAAUUAGUCUCAUCAAUUGCUUCAUUGCUUGAAAUUUUAUCAUUCUCAAUCAAAUUAGUCUCAUCAAGUCGAAUAUUUCAAAAACUUAUAAUUUUAUUCAAAUUUUCGAAAUGUAAAUUUUGUUUUAAAAUAAUUAAUUUUUUUUUUUGAAAUUUUCUAUUUCGAAAGUUUCCUAUUUUAUUUCAAAAAUAUCUAAAUUUGUGAAAUUUCAUUUUUCGAAAAUUUCCUAUUUUUAUAUAUAGUAAAAUGAGUAAAAUAGUAUUUUUUAAGUGUAUUGAGAGAGUGUAAGGUAUAGGUGGGGGUGUCAAGUAGAAAACUCUCUUAGAUUUUAUCUUGUAUCCAACUUUUUCUUACAAAAUCGACUUUUAGGGUGACAACUAUUCUCCACUUACAUCAAUUUUGAUCAUUCACUCAUAUUUUUUAACUAAAAAAAUAGUUAUUUGAUAUGUUUUAAAUGACUCGCCAUACAAUCUUAUGAUGUCGAACUAUCUAGAUGUAUUAAUUAUUUAAAUGAUAUUAGUUAAAUUCCAAAAAUAAAUUAUUUUAUAAAUUGAAAUUUUUAAAUGAUUUCUUGCAAUUAUAUAUAUUAUAAAAAUAAAAAUAUAAAAAUAAAAUUACAAUUAAGUUUUUAUGUUACCUCAAAAAAAAAAUCCUACUUUUUUUAAAGAGCUCAUAUAAAAACAACAAAUAAAAUUGGUCACUUCCACUUAAAAGAGUCAAAAAUAUAUAUAUAUUUUUUAAUUUCAUUCAAACCAAGCAUUGCAACGUAACAUUAAAAAACUUCGCUAAAAAUUCAUUACUAUGGGGAAUACUUUGUUUAUAAUAUUAUUUGACUUUUUCGAGUGACAAUAGGUCAGACGAGGUUAGACUUUAAAUCCUGAGUCUGGUUUAUGAUUAAUUUUUUAGGUCUACGACCUAUCAUAUACUUUUUAUCGGUCUUACUUAGUUUUUUUUAAAAGUCUAACCUGACUUGAAAGUCUAUUUAAAAACUUUAUUCACAUUAAAACAUUUAAAUGUUUUACUCAUACCACACGUUACUCUCGAGAUACCAAUAUCAAUGUACAUAUCUAUAUAUUAAAUAAAAAAUAAUUUAAAUUUUUUUUGAAAUAAACAUUCUUUAAACCCUGAAAAAUAAUUUUUAGUUUCAAAGAAUAGAUUUUUUUUUUUUUCUUUUUAUGAAACAAAUACACCAAUUAUUACCUCUCAAACAAAUAUGGAACGACUACUGAAUGAUUGACUAAUUGAACGACUACCGAAUAUGGAACAACUAUCAAAUAUAAAUCGCUACCGAAUAUGGAAUGAUUGUCUAAUUGAUUGAAUUUAAAAUAGAAAAUAAUAUUAUUAAUAUAAUAAUAAAAAAUAACAUUAAUAAAUAGGCUAAAUAUCACAUGUGGUCACUUAACUUAAUUUCAGUUAACGUUUUAAUCAUUUAUCUUUUUUUUUUCUUCCCGAUUUAGUCCUUUAUUCCUAACAAUAUCAAAUAAAGUAUAAAAAUAUGAGUUUAUUUGAAAAUUUGCGUUACGAAUUUGAUGAAAUUUGUAUUAUAUUGAAGAAUAUAAUUAAUUUUAUGAGUUUUGUUUGAAUUUUUUUUUUGAAAUUUUGUAUAAAAAAGUAUAACAUUGUUGAAAU